rnacentral:rRNA from 1 species
UACAGAGGGGGCAAGCGUUAUUCGGAAUUACUGGGCGUAAAGGGCGCGUAGGCGGACAGCUUAGUCAGAGGUGAAAGCCCAGGGCUCAACCUUGGAAUUGCCUUUGAUACUGGCUGUCUUGAGUUCGGGAGAGGUGAGUGGAAUGCCGAGUGUAGAGGUGAAAUUCGUAGAUAUUCGGCGGAACACCAGUGGCGAAGGCGGAACUCACUGGCC